rnacentral:rRNA from 1 species
UAGCCGCCGCGGUAAUACAGAGGGUGCGAGCGUUAAUCGGAUUUACUGGGCGUAAAGCGUGCGUAGGCGGCUUUUUAAGUCGGAUGUGAAAUCCCUGAGCUUAACUUAGGAAUUGCAUUCGAUACUGGGAAGCUAGAGUAUGGGAGAGGAUGGUAGAAUUCCAGGUGUAGCGGUGAAAUGCGUAGAGAUCUGGAGGAAUACCGAUGGCGAAGGCAGCCAUCUGGCCUAAUACUGACGCUGAGGUACGAAAGCAUGGGGAGCAAACAGGAUUAGAUACCCCCGUAGUCCCUGUCUCUUAUAC